UCCCCCUACUCACCGUUAAUUUAAUAAUUUCUUUGAAUUGUGAAAUUGAUAAUGAAAUUUGUCAGUGAACGCAGCCCAGUUGUUGUUAUAGCACACUUUGAUGUACUUCUUAGUGCCUAUACUUUUGGGCCAAAUUAAAAGCUCAGCAGUUAACAAUUGUUAUGGCUCAUUAAAGGACAUCAAACACCAAAAAGCGAAACAACACACACAGCACAAUGCCAAGAAAUGUAAAGUGUAAUGUCUUCAUUUGCCUUGGCUCCAGAAGUGCUUAGUUAGCAGGCCAUGAAGUGAUUGGCGUGUGUUUUUGCUCUCACACUCAUCAGCAAAUCAAAAGAAAAUUGAAUUGACAAUGAUUUCCAACUCCCCACUCAAAAAAAAUUUAAAUUCCCAUUUAACACAAAUUUUGUGCAAAACAUAGGGAGGAGUAGAGGAAUAAAAGGAAACGGGACUCCCAGUGAAGUUGUUAUCACUAACAACCAUACCCCACUCACUUAACAAUCACUGCCUGCUGUGACGAUAAAAGGACACGAAUUGAAAUUGAAAUCAAACAAAUUGGGAAAUCUUUACCGUAAUGAAAUCUGAUACGCCUUAUUUAAUGCUCUUUUCUGUUAGGGCAUAAAAUAUGUAAUGACACAAAUAGAACGCCCUGCUUCAAUAUUGGUGGCUUUCUAGGAGUUUGGCUUGCCUUCCAUUUGAUAACUCAAUGGCAUCAUUGACAAAGAGUCCUUGUUUUUGCAACACUCACAAAGACCAAAGCAAACAGCCAAACUCCCCUCCGCUUUGGUGGCCUUAACUCCGUUGCCGCAGUCAAAGGAAUCGAAGGCGUUGUACUCGAGCUUGGCAUGUGCCAGGCCGACAUGGAGAAGAAGAAACAAAAAAAGCAAAAACACACAAAACUAAAUGUGAAUCAAUUUCAUUUGACAGAGAGGGUGGCAACAUGAAAUCGAUUUGGGACUCACGAGCCACAAAAGAGCUUUUGGAAAUCACUGAAAAAACAGUUCGAAGACCAACGAUGAUGAUGACGAUGUUGUUGUUGUUGUUGUGAACAUAAAUGCGUUCGUAAGCACUUUGCGGAAUGUUAGCUGUCCCCCUAAGCAUAACAAACAAGGAUAAUGUGAACAUGAAAGAAUGAAUGAAUGCAUGAAUGAUGCCACAAGAAAAAGUAUCAAGCGUUGAAAUAUGAAGGCGGGGGUUAACCCAACAAACUAGCGUACUCUCCUUGCUUCGUCCAAACAUAGGAAUGAAUAAAUAAAAUUCUUAAUGUA